CCGUCUUGUGCCAAGCUCGGUCUGUUCUCUUGACGUGCAGAUCUUGAGCCGGACGCUUAUUCUUCUUUUUUGUCCUUUUUCAUAUAGAGGCAAAGAGAGAGGGAAUAUGUUGAUAGACAAGAGCAAAUAUCCACACAGAGAUCUUUGAGUGCAGGAACUUGCCACUUCUCACGAAGCCUCCUGCAAUUAAUCUCGGUGAAAUUU
rfam:Thielaviopsis punctulata NODE_40, whole genome shotgun sequence.